UCUCUUGCACAUUAGAUCUAGAAGAGAACUCAAGGUAACUACCUUGGGGAGGACAUUGAAAAAUAAUUUUUCCUUUCUCCACCUAUUUUAUCAAGCAUUAACUGUAGGGCCACUAAUAAAAAAUGGAUUUCAAAUCUAGACACAUCAAACUAUCUCCUAUGAUAGUCAAAAUGAUGUGAGCAGAAACUCAAGUUAUGACAUAAUUUUGAUAUUCUGCAUAUUGAUAAGAACAUGUACAAUUAUAUGUUAGGAAUAUUAUUGACCAUUGAUGGCAAAACAAAGAUCACAUAUAAGAAGAGGCA
rnacentral:lncRNA from 1 species